rnacentral:rRNA from 1 species
UACGUAGGUGGCAAGCGUUAUCCGGAUUUACUGGGUGUAAAGGGCGUGUAGGCGGGUCUGCAAGUCAGAUGUGAAAUCUCCGGGCUUAACUCGGAAGUGUCAUCUGAAACUACGGAUCUUGAGUACUGGAGAGGAUAGUGGAAUUCCUAGUGUAGCGGUAAAAUGCGUAGAUAUUAGGAGGAACACCAGUGGCGAAGGCGGCUAUCUGGACAGUAACUGACGCUGAGGCGCGAAAGCGUGGGGAGCAAACAGGAUUAGAUACCCCGUACGU